AGCCAAUAAGCUUGCUGCUUUGCUGACGAGUGGCGGACGGGUGAGUAAUGUCUGGGAAACUGCCUGAUGGAGGGGGAUAACUACUGGAAACGGUAGCUAAUACCGCAUAACGUCGCAAGACCAAAGAGGGGGACCUUCGGGCCUCUUGCCAUCGGAUGUGCCCAGAUGGGAUUAGCUAGUAGGUGGGGUAACGGCUCACCUAGGCGACGAUCCCUAGCUGGUCUGAGAGGAUGACCAGCCACACUGGAACUGAGACACGGUCCAGACUCCUACGGGAGGCAGCAGUGGGGAAUAUUGCACAAUGGGCGCAAGCCUGAUGCAGCCAUGCCGCGUGUAUGAAGAAGGCCUUCGGGUUGUAAAGUACUUUCAGCGGGGAGGAAGGGAGUAAAGUUAAUACCUUUGCUCAUUGACGUUACCCGCAGAAGAAGCACCGGCUAACUCCGUGCCAGCAGCCGCGGUAAUACGGAGGGUGCAAGCGUUAAUCGGAAUUACUGGGCGUAAAGCGCACGCAGGGCGGUUU
rnacentral:rRNA from 1 species